GUGCCAGCAGCCGCGGUAAAACGUAGGGUGCAAGCGUUGUCCGGAAUUACUGGGUGUAAAGGGAGCGCAGGCGGGAAGACAAGUUGGAAGUGAAAACCAUGGGCUCAACCCAUGAAUUGCUUUCAAAACUGUUUUUCUUGAGUAGUGCAGAGGUAGAUGGAAUUCCCGGUGGUAGCGGUGGAAUGCGUAGAUAUCGGGAGGAACACCAGUGGCGAAGGCGGUCUACUGGGCACCAACUGACCCUGAGGCUCGAAAGCAUGGGUAGCAAACAGGAUUAGAUACCCUGGUAGUCC
rnacentral:rRNA from 1 species